GAUGAACGCUGGCGGCGUGCCUAAUACAUGCAAGUCGAGCGAACAGAUGAGGAGCUUGCUCCUCUGACGUUAGCGGCGGACGGGUGAGUAACACGUGUAUAACCUACCUAUAAUACUGGGAUAACUUCGGGAAACCGGAGCUAAUACCGGAUAAUAUAUUGAACCGCAUGGUUCAAUAGUGAAAGACGGUUUUGCUGUCACUUAUAGAUGGAUCCGCGCCGCAUUAGCUAGUUGGUAAGGUAACGGCUUACCAAGGCAACGAUGCGUAGCCGACCUGAGAGGGUGAUCGGCCACACUGGAACUGAGACACGGUCCAGACUCCUACGGGAGGCAGCAGUAGGGAAUCUUCCGCAAUGGGCGAAAGCCUGACGGAGCAACGCCGCGUGAGUGAUGAAGGUCUUCGGAUCGUAAAACUCUGUUAUUAGGGAAGAACAAAUGUGUAAGUAACUAUGCACGUCUUGACGGUACCUAAUCAGAAAGCCACGGCUAACUACGUG
rnacentral:rRNA from 1 species